rnacentral:rRNA from 1 species
GAUGAACGCUGGCGGCGUGCCUAAUACAUGCAAGUCGAGCGAACAGAUGAGGAGUUUGCUCGUCUGACGUUAGCGGCGGACGGGUGAGUCCCACGUGGAUAACCUACCUAUCAGACUGGGAUAACAUCGGGAAACCGGAGCUACUACCGGAUAAUAUAUUGAAUCGCAUGGUUCAAUAGUGAAAGACGGUUUUGCUGUGACUUAUAGACUGAUCCGCGCCGCAUUAGCUAGUUGGUAAGGUAACGGCUUACCAAGGCAACGAUGCGUAGCCGACCUGAGAGGGUGAUCGGCCACACUGGAACUGAGACACGGUCCAGACUCCUACGGGAGGCAGCAGUAGGGAAUCUUCCGCAAAGGGCGAAAGCCUGACGGAGCAACGCCGCGUGAGUGAUGAAGGUCUUCGGAUCGUAAAGCUCUGUUAGUAGGGAGGAACAAAUGUGUAAGUAACUGUGCACGUCUUGACGGUACCUAAUCAGAAAGCCACGGCUAACUACGUG